AUUUGAGCCUGCAUUUGAUGGUGGUUUUUUUUUUCGUUUGUUGUAUGGUGGAAGAGCAACCUGCUGUGUUGGUCGUGUGUGAGAAUUGCUGACACGAUGUUGUUGAGAGUCAAAACGAAAUGAAUGUGUUGAGCGGCGGAUGUGUGAGGAGUAAAAGGCAAAACGAAAGGUGGCCGCCAGGCUAAACCAACGAAGAAUGCAAGAACCCAUGCUGGUUAUGGCUUAUAAAAACGAAACGAGUGGAGAAGAAGAAGAGAGCUAUGGGACCGAUACAAUACGCUCUCUCGGCAACUCCGACAACGACGACGAAGACGGCUACGAGAACGACAACGACGACGUGUAUUCAACAGAUUCAUAAAAAUCAACAAAAUUACAAGAACAACAAUAACAACAACAACCAUCACAGCAGCAGCAGCAGCAGCAAGAAGGAAAACAAACCCAACAUGGUUUUGUUUGAGUUGUGUUUGCAAUUGAAUGCUUGUAGAGGAGCGCUCUGCAUGCGUAGCUGCGUGCCUCUGUGUGUAUGCGAGUGUUUGUUGUGGAUGUUGAUAAUGACGAUGAUGAUGAUGAUGACGAUGACGAUGAGAUUGGGCCGACAUCAUCGUCGUCGCAACAGCAACAGAUUGAAAACAUUAACAAGUAGUUGAAAGUCAGCGUCUCUGCUGGCAGCGCAUUGACUGCGUUAAUGGUAUGACGUUGACGUCGAUGAUGGCACAAAUACUCCGAAUAAAAAAGUAGGUAUAUUACCUUAGAAUGCCAGUCGUUCUUACUUCAGUCUUCGUACAGUCUUUGCUUUAACCCGUUCCAAAUUCUGUCCGCCGCCGUUUUGCUCUAUAUUAUACAACAACAACAAUUGCAAUCAAUCAAUCAUUCUUAAAGAAAUAGCUAAAACAGUAUAAAUUAAAAAUUAAAUAGCCCAAAUAUUCAAAAACGUUAAGGAAUUUUUCUCUAUCACACAACCAGCCAGCCAGCCAACCAUCCAUAUUUUCCACAAAAACGAAACGACGACGAAAAAUCAAAGUUGAGCUUAGUUCAAUUCGAAUACGGCAGUAAUAGCAGCAACACCGGUCGUCCCGUGUAGUAGUCAGUCGUCGCCACUUAGUCGUUGUCUCGUCUCUCACACGCAAAAACCAACUAAACCAAUCAACAGCAACAACAAUAACACACCUUUACUACUAUUUUAUUUUCAAAACCAUAAUCAACAAGAAUUAAAACGCGCGACAACAACACCUUUUAACAAAAACAACAAUAACGGCAAAUCCAAUUACCAUUACCAACAAGAAACAGAAGAAGAAUUUAUUCUACAAUUAGCCUGAUCUAUUUUUUGAGAAUCUAGCAUUCCUCUUCAUAACGGAAAUCACUCUCCGAUUCAAAGAAAGAAAAGUACGUUACGUUGCCAGUAAUCAAUUAAGCCCUUCCUAAACAGAAUCAUUGAGAAGUUAAAAAAAAAAUCAACAAUCACAAACAAAAGUUAAAGAAUUUUAUAAAAAAAAAAAACAAAAGAAACACGCGAAAGUUCUUAACGGCAAAACUAACUCGAACUCAUUGUUUCUGUUCCAAACAAAACUACGAACAAUCCGAUCUUCUUUUUUACCCUUCUAACGAUCUCAUAAACUGAUCUACCUACAUUUCAUAAAAAACAGAAAAUACGGUCUUGUGAAAUCUCUAGCUCCAAUCUCCAAGAAAAAUCUUCUGACUACCAUUAAAAAAAAGAGAAAAUUACAUUUAUAAUCAUUUCAAUCAGAACCAAUCUCUACAAUCUACAAAAAUCAAAUCAAAUCAAACAAAAAAAAAAACUUCGACCACAUAUAAUUGAGCAAUUCUUCAAAAACAAAGAAAUUCUAAUUCAAACAACAAUUUCAAGUGGUAUUUGCUUCUGAUCCACGCCAUAUCCUAUUCGCUCCACUCCAAAUCCUUUCAUAAAGAUUUCCAAAACCAGCAAAUCCUAGAAAUAUAAAGAAACUCAAAACGACAUUAAACGAAAACAUAAACAUUAAACUUUACUAACAAAUUGUUGCUUGGCCAAGAAAAAAAAAAAAAACAAAAAUUUGAGAAAUUUGUUUUGAGUCACCAGUAUUGUGAGUUAUCUGUAAGUCAAGAAGAUAACCCUAAAACAAUAAUAGAGAGUUUAGUUUUUGAAAAGAAAGAAAGUAAAAACCAGUGCAAUAUAUCCCCCAGUUUUUUUGACAUUACAAGAAACAAAGGAUUAAUCAUACCAAGGUUGUUGUUAGAAAAUACAAAACACAAAGAAAUUUUAAUCAAUCAUAACAUAGACAAAAAUCGCCCCACUUCAAACAUUUUUAGAGAAAUAAACCAAAGGCAAUUAUUAGCAGGUUGUUAAGAGCGUUUGUUUCAAACCCUCAUCUCACUGUUGUCUUGCAAUCCUCAAACUGUGCGAAGCAUUGCGUAAGCAGUUUUGAAAACGCCACCCUAUAAAUGAUAACAGGCAAUUUUUAGCAAUCACCAAACAAGAAUUAAAUAUAAACCCAAGUCAAUUGAUGUAAAAUUUUUAACCAAAUAGAAAAAAAUCAAACUCUAUACAUAACGUUGUAGUAUACACUUUUAAAAACUUGCAAAAACUUAUCGGAAGAAACUAGAAACAGGAUUUUUUAGCCAUAUAUAGUUAGCCUAAAGACUUUUGUGAGAUAAUUUCAUGGACUCUUAGAAGCCACAAAACUACUCCCACAAUCAUACACGUAUAUAGUGCAAUAAACGUAGCAGAAAUUAUUUAGAAAAUUAGCGAGAAUCGUUAUUUAGAAUAGAAUUAUAAUUCAAAAAAAAAACAAAUAUUAAGGCAAUAGCAGUCAAGCAGGGUUCACGGUUUUUGGGCACCCCGACAAACUGACUCAAGAGUACGCGUUUUGACAAUCAAUACAAAAUUAGCGUGAAUAUACAUAUAUAUACAAUAUAUAA